UACGCAGGGGGCAAGCGUUGUCCGGAUUUAUUGGGCGUAAAGAGCUCGUAGGUGGUUCGGUAAGUCGGAUGUGAAAUCUCCAGGCUCAACCUGGAGGGGUCAUUCGAUACUGCCGUGACUAGAGUUCGGUAGGGGAGUGUGGAAUUCCUGGUGGAGCGGUGAAAUGCGCAGAUAUCAGGAGGAACACCCGUAGCGAAGGCGGCACUCUGGGCCGAUACUGACACUGAGGAGCGAAAGCAUGGGGAGCGAACAGG
rnacentral:rRNA from 1 species